CAGAGUCUACAUACUAUACUGAACAUACCCGGUACCUUCUGAUUUCAGAAACUAAGCAGGAUCAGGUCUAGUUAAUACUCAGAUAGCAGCCACAUCAUCAGAGAUGGUCUCUCC
rnacentral:rRNA from 1 species